UACAUACUCCCUCCGUUCGGAAUUACUCGUCCAAGAAAUUAAUGUAUCUAGAUGUAUUUUAAUUGUAGAUACAUCCAUUUUUGUGACAAGUAAUUCCGAAUGGAGGGAGUACUAC
rnacentral:pre_miRNA from 1 species